rnacentral:rRNA from 1 species
GACGAACGCUGGCGGCGUGCUUAACACAUGCAAGUCGAACGGAAAGGCCCUGCUUUUGUGGGGUGCUCGAGUGGCGAACGGGUGAGUAACACGUGAGUAACCUGCCCUUGACUUUGGGAUAACUUCAGGAAACUGGGGCUAAUACCGGAUAGGAGCUCCUGCUGCAUGGUGGGGGUUGGAAAGUUUCGGCGGUUGGGGAUGGACUCGCGGGUUAUCGGCUUGUUGGUGGGGUAGUGGCUUACCAAGGCUUUGACGGGUAGCCCGCCUGAGAGGGUGACCGGCCACAUUGGGACUGAGGUACGGCCCAGAAUCCUACGGGAGGCAGCAGGGGGGAACAUUGCACAAUGGGGCGGAGCCAGAUGCAGCAACGCCGCGUGCGGGAAGACGGCCUUUGGGUUGUAAACCGAUUUCGCCUUUGACGAAGCGGUAGUGACGGUAAUGGGUAAAGAAGCCACGGCUAACUACGUG